rfam:Stegodyphus mimosarum contig81351, whole genome shotgun sequence.
GCUUUCGUGGUGUAGUGGUCAGCACUCUCGACACGUAACCGAGAGGUGCGUGGUUCGAUUCCCGGCCAAGGCG